UUAGAGGAAGGAGAAGUCGUAACAAGGUUUCCGUAGGUGAACCUGCGGAAGGAUCAUUGUCGAUGCCUUACAUGCAGACCGACCUGUGAAUCUGUUUGAACACGUAGGGUUGGCUUGAGGUAUUCCAUGCCUCGACCUCCCUUGAGGUAGGAGGGGGCCACCAGUGUGUUUCCCUGCUGCCUAAACACAAACCCCGGCGCUGAAUGCGCCAAGGAACUAUAUUUCAUUCAGUGCGCCCCCAUUGGCCCGGAGACGGUGCUCCUGCGGGUGGUGUUUUGAAGCAUGACACAUAAUGACUCUCGGCAACGGAUAUCUAGGCUCUUGCAUCGAUGAAGAACGUAGCGAAAUGCGAUACUUGGUGUGAAUUGCAGAAUCCCGUGAACCAUCGAGUCUUUGAACGCAAGUUGCGCCCGAAGCCAUUAGGUUGAGGGCACGUCUGCCUGGGCGUCACAUAUCGUUGCCCGAUGCCAAUUUCCUCUUUGAUAUGAGGUAUGUUGUGCAGGGUGAAUGAUGGCUUCCCGUGAGCACUGCUGCCUCAUGGUUAGUUGAAAAUUGAGUCCUUGGUAGGGUGUGCCAUGAUGGAUGGUGGUUGAGUGGUGCACGAGACCAUAUCAUGUGAGACUCUACCAAACUUGGCCUCUGUGACCCACGUGCGUCUUUGAACGCUCACUACGAGACCUCAGGUCAGGCGGGGCUACCCGCUGAGUUUAAGCAU
rnacentral:misc_RNA from 1 species